rnacentral:misc_RNA from 1 species
GCAAACUUGGUCAUUUAGAGGAAGUAAAAGUCGUAACAAGGUUUCCGUAGGUGAACCUGCGGAAGGAUCAUUAAUGAAUUGUAAUCGGGGUUGAUGCUGGCAGCUGCAUGUGCUCGCUUCGAACAAUCUUCAUCCAAACACCUGUGCACCUUUAGAAGAAGGGGGAGGCUAUGUGGGGUCAAUCGUUUGAUUCCUCUUCCCCCCCUUCUUUUUAUUACACACACUGGUUUUACAACAUUGAACGUGAUUGUGCCUGUGAGGCCAUUAACAUUAAUACAACUUUUAACAACGGAUCUCUUGGCUCUCGCAUCGAUGAAGAACGCAGC